rnacentral:lncRNA from 1 species
ACGACACCUGUGAUCAAGUUUGCCAAAGUUAUGUUUGCGUCUGCGAGAAGGCACUGUAAGUACCAGCGCUUCACCUUUUCCAUGAGUUGGAAUUUAUCGCCACCGCGGCCUCGGUGAAGGGGUCCGAUUGAGACGAUAUCAGGUUCGUAUGCCUGUAUUUUUUUUUCGCCGAAUCGGAUGGGGAACUCUGAAUAUGCAGCACGAUGCUGGCAAUGGCGAAUGGUUGAGAAGCUUUGCUCCGAUGGUGUUAGUCAAUUCUUCAACGAUACCGUCAGUGUCUAUAUGUAUGGAUUCCGCGGAAUUAUUAUCAUCAACUUUGCGACUUUCUCUCUUAUGUUUAGUGGCGAAUCUACCAAAGGACGAGGAGUGGCAGCAUGAGACGGGAAUCAAGGCGGGGAGCUGUAAAUCCCCUUCUCUCUCGUCGGAAUACAGGGCAACUGUAAUACUUGGUUGUGGCUCGUGCAUCGUCUUGGUCGAAUUUGCAGAGGAAGGGCGAUAGUUUGGUUGGAUUUGCAGAGGAAUGACGAAGACGGAGGAGAGAGGUUUGAGGAAUGAGUAUUUUUUAUUGAACAAGACUUGGCUGCUGAAGAAUGAGCAGCACGCCUGCUGAGAGCAGGGUUGGACAUCUGUUCAAGUUAUGAUCUUUUUAGUCACAACUUGAACAUGUGUUGCGCUAUGACAGGCUUUCAGCAGGGGUUGCUGAUUCUUUCAGCAGCCAAGUUAAAUCCUUUUUUAUUAGUUAGCCCAGCUGGCUUCUUGUGUUUUUGGAAAGAAUAUUAUGGAAAGAACUUGGCUCAGCAGCCGACCUUGCUUACAAUCAAUCCGGAAUGAACAUGUAUCCAAGUUUCUUAUUAAAAAAUCAAAAUUUAGACACGUGUUUAUCCUGAAUUGGUUGUAAUCAUGACCGGCUGCUGAAUUUACAGCAGCCAAGUUGUGUUGGAAUAUUAUUUUCUAUACUAAAACCUAGUGGAAAAUCACUGUUCACUAACAGUGCUACCUGGUUUUGCCCCUGAUCUAACACACGGUUUUCAGCCUUUUAAUUCCUAUUGGUGAUGCUGACAGCAUGUUCUGGUUUACAUAUGUCACGUGUUGAUCAUCCUCUUCCAUUUAAGAGACAGACAGAGGAAAAGGUGGAUGCAUUGCAGUUGCCUGGUGGCAGUAACCAAAGCCCAACCCGGUUGGCCUCCACCGUUCAUCAUGUGAGAGGGGCGACUGUUCACCAGCAGUGAAUUCUCAAAGCUGGCCUUCCAUUCCUUCCUUGACGGGUCUUUUUUCCCUCCCUGCUGCAGAAAAAUGAUCUCCUUGUCCUCAUUAUUAUCCUUCUUUUUUUCGAGAUUCUUCCGCUCUUUAGCCACAUGUUGAUCAUCCUGUGUAUCUUUUUUUUCAUUCGGACUCCCUCUUCGAUUACAGCGUUUUUUCCUUGACUAAUUCACACCUGGCAGCAAUGGUACAUGCCUUUCCACCGAAAAAUAAUUAAAAAACCUUACCUGUUCCACACCUUAACACCAAAAAAUAAUUAAAAAAACCAAAAAAAGAUAGAAAAGGAGAAAAAGGAAGAGAGAGAAACAAAAGCUGAGCAUGGAUUGUGAGAGAGGGCGUCCAUCACCAGAAAAAAAAUUAAUUAAAAAACACAACAUCAUGGCAUCUGGAACAGUUCCCCACCACUGUUCAUCACCUCCUCUUCAAUCAUCCUGUUCAAGCGUUGAUCAUUGUUGAAGGGCUCUGCUUCGACUCCUUCUCGAUUUUGGAGUAGGACUUUUUUUUCUCAACUGCAAUGUCGCAUAAUUUCUAAUUUAGUUGAUUUCUUUUAUAAUUAAUCUUUAAAUGAUGAAUCCAAAAAUAAAUAUUCCGAUCAUCGAGUAACACUGAAGGAAGAUAAAGAGAGCCACAAUGAGAAAGACCGAUCAAGGUCUUAUAUCUAUAUUAGUUUAGGUAGAAGAUAAAUAACAAUGUAAUAACAUCUUAUUUCGUGAUAGGACAAGCCACGUGAUCAAGCCGUCACACCCAAAUUCUGUCUACAUGGUUGUCCCAAAAAACUUCAAAUGACAAAACUUGUAGCUCUCACAAGUUCUAACACACACAAAAACCCAUCACAUGUCCAAACCUUAAGCGUUGGAAGCGAAAGAAAAUCAAGACAAAUAACAAAUUGAUACAACUAUUUAGGAGGAUGAUAAUACUGAUGAAUUGCAUAUACAGUCUGCAACAUUGUGAGCACCAGCAGAAUAAACGCAGCGACCAAAGAAAUAAUCGCCCACGGCGUACCGAAAUGCUCGCGCCUCAGCUUUUCCAUCCACUUGUUCCAGUCAGUCUUGUAAUACUUGUUCACUUCGUUGCAAAGUCCCUCGUAGUAAAAUCCGAUGACCGCCGUGUCGUUGUACAGCUCGUUGAACAACCGCGCAGCGUCUUCCGGGCUCAGCCAGUUCACCAGUAUUCCCAUCUCGCAAAGAAGGUCGAUGUCCUUGCUCGAAUCGAUGAGAUUAUCCAUCAGGACGGCGUAAGAUGUUAUCUUGUGGAGGCGGCUGUGACAGCAUUGCUCGAAGGCGAUGAGGUUCCUGAAGAGAGGCCCCGUCCGCUCGUCGAUUUCUAGUGGUGGAAUCGUGAACACCCCGUUUUCGAACUUUAUGUUCAUUAUGCCGUCCGGGGUUUUGAAGCUUCUUUGGAAUUUAAUGCCGGCUUCGGACAGAGUUGUCACGUUUGGAACCCCCUGCGGCAGCUCUCUCUCCUUGCUCUGCUGUUGGUCUUCACCCUCUUCUUUUCGUUUGGAGCCUAAAUCUUCAAACGGGACAACGAUCACGGUUCUUAUGAGAUCGAGUAUGUGCAGGGGUUCGGGAGGGACAUUCGGACUCGGUUUGAAAAUAAAAAUAUCAUCGUCCGCCACGGAUUGUCUGAAGAAGUUGAGGACAAGGUCGGUGAGGGAGGAGGCAUUUCCUUCGGAAGUAGUAUUCUUCACGGCGGUUAAAUUGUAUAACCGCUCGAGAACAAACCAUGGCAGCUGAUUUUCUAGCAGGAGAAGAUCAUGGUAAAGAUAUGGCAGCAUGCAGGUCACAUUGAAAACGGGGUCGUUCUCGUCUUGUCGAUUGACGGAAAGUGCUUUACGAAAUAGUUCGAUUAGGAAGCAUCCGUCGAUUACCAUCAUCUCAACGAAGUCUUUCUUGUUGAAAUGAUCCAAUGGCUCUGCGUAACAAUCACGAGCGCGCUUGUUGAAAUCCACGACACCCGUGAUCAAGUUUUUCAAAGUUAUGUUUGCGUCUGCGAGAAGGCACUGCAAGUACCAGCGCUUCACCUUUUCCAUGAGUUGGAAUUGAUCGCCACCGCGGCCUCGGUGAAAGGGCCCGAUUGAGACGAUAUCAGGUUCGUAUGCCUGUAUUUUUUUUCGCCGAAUCUGAUGGGGAACUCUGAAUAUGCAGC